UGCACGGUCACGGAACGUGCAGUGGAAAUCUAAAUAACGUUUCAAUCUGAACUCGCUCGUGAAAAAUACAUUUGAAAUUCAAUAGAUGUCUUCUUGUUUAGUGUGUGAGGAGGUAGUAAUGGGGAGAAAUCCAGCCCAUCAGUAGUCAAAGUGAAGUACAAGCCGCAGACCAUCGCUGAAUAUCUGCAGAGUACCGGGUCAUGUGCAUAAUUGCCUGAUUGAUGCUGUCGGUAACCGAAGUCCAACGGCAAUUGCUGGGGUAAACACAAAGGCUACGGUUAACUCAGGGCCCGAGAUUUCUUGGGGAGAUUGCAGCGGUUAUUUACGUAGGGGGCUGUCGGCUUCUACAAAGUGACCAUUCACCCAGGAGAAAAUUUCAACAUGCAACAGUAAAUGAAAGACUCUAGAAUGCAUUAACCAUCGCUUUGCUUGUGGUGGCGGUUUGGUUUUUAAUGCUGGAUUGAACUCUGUAAGCUGGAAAAUUUGCCAAAUUAAAACGAUCGCUUCCGAUCGGAAUGUUUUUAUUUUUGUUACAAGGACGUGCAAUCUAUUAUUCAUAGGAUCAUGACAUCAAUUUGUUAUUUAUAUCAACAUUAAACAUCUUGAAGUUCAUUCGAUGCAAAGUUUAACACAUCAAUGUCUCUUAUUUUCACUGUUUCAAAAUCAUGAACUCCAACUUAAAUUGUUUAGUAUUCCCAGAGUUUCAAAUCCUUCUGAGAAUUCAGAACUCUUUGUAGUGUCAUUGAAGCCUUAAGAGUAUUUGCCAGAGGCACUCUCCCUAUAAUUGAUAUAAUUUGCUGGGAUAUUUUGCAUCAAGGCUAUUUAUAUUAAUAACUAGAAGGUGUUUAUUCAGUGGACGAUAUGCUCUGACAUGUCCCUCGGAUAAUGAUUUAAAAAACGGAUUGUUAUUAACAUUAUCAGGGUAUCAGAAUUUAAACAUAUUUUUUAAAAUUGCUAUAAGUUUGCUCCAUCCUAAAAUAAUUUUAUUUUAUUUUAUCAAUUAGGGUAUAAAAACUCUUGCCUUCUUGGUGUGGAUUCAGGAAAUGUUUAAACAAAUUGCAUUAUUAAGUUGUCAGAUUCACCUUUUUAUCAUUUCUACACCCCCCCCCCAAUCUUAAAUGUUGUCAAAGUAAGAACAAAAAAUAAUAAAUAUAACCUAAUGUUUUUUAUUUGUUCACAGGUUGGUGGAAUCAAUGGUGUCUUCAUUUCAAAGUAGUGGAUGGAAACUAAUUUAUUCUUCCAAAAAUCAAAGUUUUUGUUAUUUACGACCUCAAUUUUUGAAGAGGCUGUCUUUGUCCUAUUCAGUUAUACAUUCAAUCAGAACCCAAUGCAUUAUGUAGCUUGAGUCGGAUUCAAAUAAUGAAUCCUUUGUCUUUGCCUCAAUAUACAUUGCCAAGCACUAACGAUCAGCCCUCUCGUUAAUUAGACAAUUUUAAUUCCAUUAGAGGCCUCCCCAUUAUGCAUGUCAUGAAACUUCCAAUCAAUUAAUGAAACCUUUGCACUGUUCACUAACUAAACAUGGGCAUAAAACGGCUUCACGUUUUAUCGACCAUUAACGACUUAUGGGGAUAUAGCUUGUUUACCAAAGUAACCUCCGUUUCAUUUGGGAAUUAUUUCGACCCACGGACUGUUUGGUGAUAUCCUUUGUAAUGUUGAAAAAUGAACUGUCAUUGUGUCAGCACAUGAAACCAUUAGCUGUUUUAUUGCACAUUAAAAGGUCCCCUAUGGGAUGGGUACCUAGCCAUGCAUGCUGGUAUGUUUUCCCCACAGUAUUUAUGACACAUUAAUGUGUUUUUCUGCAUAAAACUCUAGUACCCUUUAAACAUUAUUCCUCCAAUUUUUGUUUUAUAACCCUUGCUCUAAUUACGCCAAACACACAGAUGCACACUGUCAAUUACUCUAGUAACUGAAUAUGUGAGUCUGCCAGAACGAUUUACAGAGAUCUUUGUCUACACAAAUUACCGGCCUUUUUUGAUAGGUGGAGAACCUUAAUGGGUUCAAAUUAAACAUGUAUGGCCCAUUUGUCAGACAAAUCUGCUCAUGCACAAACACCGUUGAUUUAAAAAUACAUGUUCUAAAAAAUUCAAAUAUUUGAGGAUGAGCUAUAGAUUCACAUGUAGGCCUUUGUUAUUUCAUGUAUGGUUGAUGCCACCAAACAUGAGAGCACUGUCUGCGACUAUAUUGUCAUCUCAACCAAUCCUGAUAUUUGGUUCAAUUUCUGGUUAAAUUGAGUAUAUAAUGUCUUUGAUGUGGUGCUGUGAUUAACAUCUAUUCAACAUCAGUAAAACACAUAGUCAAUAUUUUUAAAAAUGGUUUUGAAAAUUGUGAUUAAUUUCUUCUCAGUUUCCCUGUAUUCUUCACAUGUUAGACUCUAUGGAUCAAUAACUCUACAUCUUAAUCUUUACUUUUCUCACAGGAAUCAAAGUUGUUUUCGUUUCUUUUCUAGACAGAUGAAGUUCGACAUGAAAUGUGACUUGUAUUUAAGUGUUUCUUUAGUCACGCAGGAAUCAGCGAAGCAAGCUGUGCCGGCACCGCAUUCGCACAUAAGAGAUUGCGACUAAAUCCUUGAGUGUCGUAGCUGUAAAUGAUUUGCCAACUCAAAUUGAGCAAUUUAGCAAAACAGCGAAGCACACAGCUGGAUGCGAAGGAAAGUUGAGAAGUCCCUGGACUGAUGCAAGAGGAUGAGGAAGAUGAGUUUACAGGUAACUUCUUCAUCUGGGAGAGAGACUUCAGCAUGUCAUAACCUUGUCUUGGGCCAAUCCUUGAAGAACAUUCAUGUCUGGUUGAGAUAGAGAGAGAGAUGUCUGGGAACCAUGGUAGUACAUGAGGAUUCAAGAUUGGUGGUCUGGCAUCUGUGACAGUGCUCCUCCAUAUGGUAUGAGUCAAUGAAAUUCCAAUGAAUACAUGGAUACUUCACCUCUUCCGGGAAGGUAUAUUUGUUUGUUUGUCCUCUACUCGUCGAAGCGAGAUGAUUAUAAGCUCAUCCCGAGUAAUUAACAGUGUGGGUCACCGUGUCCCAUUGGGAUGGGGUGACAGAACCUAACACAAUUUAUCAGGUCUAGUCCCACUGGGCAGUGCUAACUAAUGUUAUUUGUUGUGCGCGGUUCUUUGUCUCGCGGUUUGGUCAUAGACAUGCUGUCUACAUUGUGAAAAUGUCAGAGAACUCUGAGCGGAGUUGCUGAAAGUAUUACUUACAAUUACUCAUUCAUUUAUACACUUUGACGAUAUCUUGUUAUUUUUGGAUGAUUUUCCCUGUUAAGUUGAAGCUUCUUCAAGACCGUAACCUGAUGAAAGAGAAUUCUUGUUAAGGGACGAAAAUAGUUUUUUUGUGAAUCGCAAAAGUCUUGUGAGCUGCAGAAAUUAAAUACGUUCACAUAUUCGCAGAGUGUGUGGGCUGAAACAGUCUUCACAAAUUGAAAUUGUGAAAUUGGAAGAAAACAAUUUCUUAACAAGUUCUCGUUUCCAAUCAAACAAUUGAACAGUGGCGCAGUUUUCCUGCUUAUUAAUUAAACCACGUUCUGUAGCCUGAACUCUGUGCAGUAUAAAAGACGUAUCGAGAACUGCAUUAAAAAUGUUAAGAUUUGUCACUGUUGU